AAACCAACUGGGAUUACCUUAGUAACGGCGAGUGAAGCGGUAAAAGCUCAAAUUUGAAAUCUGGUACCUUCAGUGCCCGAGUUGUAAUUUGUAGAAUUUGUCUUUGAUUAGGUCCUUGUCUAUGUUCCUUGGAACAGGACGUCAUAGAGGGUGAGAAUCCCGUUUGGCGAGGAUACCUUUUCUCUGUAAGACUUUUUCGAAGAGUCGAGUUGUUUGGGAAUGCAGCUCAAAGUGGGUGGUAAAUUCCAUCUAAAGCUAAAUAUUGGCGAGAGACCGAUAGCGAACAAGUACAGUGAUGGAAAGAUGAAAAGAACUUUGAAAAGAGAGUGAAAAAGUACGUGAAAUUGUUGAAAGGGAAGGGCAUUUGAUCAGACAUGGUGUUUUUUAAAUGUGCAAGUCUCUCGUGGACAUGUGCCUCUGGAAAUUAACACUGGGCCAACAUCAGUUCUGGCGGCAGGAUAAAUCAUUAAGAAUGUAGCUACCUCGGUAGUGUUAUAGCUUUUUGGAAUACUGCC
rnacentral:rRNA from 1 species